rnacentral:rRNA from 1 species
UUAAGCGACUAAGCGUACACGGUGGAUGCCCUGGCAGUCAGAGGCGAUGAAGGACGUGCUAAUCUGCGAUAAGCGUCGGUAAGGUGAUAUGAACCGUUAUAACCGGCGAUUUCCGAAUGGGGAAACCCAGUGUGUUUCGACACACUAUCAUUAACUGAAUCCAUAGGUUAAUGAGGCGAACCGGGGGAACUGAAACAUCUAAGUACCCCGAGGAAAAGAAAUCAACCGAGAUUCCCCCAGUAGCGGCGAGCGAACGGGGAGCAGCCCAGAGCCUGAAUCAGUGUGUGUGUUAGUGGAAGCGUCUGGAAAGGCGCGCGAUACAGGGUGACAGCCCCGUACACAAAAAUGCACAUGCUGUGAGCUCGAUGAGUAGGGCGGGACACGUGGUAUCCUGUCUGAAUAUGGGGGGACCAUCCUCCAAGGCUAAAUACUCCUGACUGACCGAUAGUGAACCAGUACCGUGAGGGAAAGGCGAAAAGAACCCCGGCGAGGGGAGUGAAAAAGAACCUGAAACCGUGUACGUACAAGCAGUGGGAGCACGCUUAGGCGUGUGACUGCGUACCUUUUGUAUAAUGGGUCAGCGACUUAUAUUCUGUAGCAAGGUUAACCGAAUAGGGGAGCCGAAGGGAAACCGAGUCUUAACUGGGCGUUAAGUUGCAGGGUAUAGACCCGAAACCCGGUGAUCUAGCCAUGGGCAGGUUGAAGGUUGGGUAACACUAACUGGAGGACCGAACCGACUAAUGUUGAAAAAUUAGCGGAUGACUUGUGGCUGGGGGUGAAAGGCCAAUCAAACCGGGAGAUAGCUGGUUCUCCCCGAAAGCUAUUUAGGUAGCGCCUCGUGAAUUCAUCUCCGGGGGUAGAGCACUGUUUCGGCAAGGGGGUCAUCCCGACUUACCAACCCGAUGCAAACUGCGAAUACCGGAGAAUGUUAUCACGGGAGACACACGGCGGGUGCUAACGUCCGUCGUGAAGAGGGAAACAACCCAGACCGCCAGCUAAGGUCCCAAAGUCAUGGUUAAGUGGGAAACGAUGUGGGAAGGCCCAGACAGCCAGGAUGUUGGCUUAGAAGCAGCCAUCAUUUAAAGAAAGCGUAAUAGCUCACUGGUCGAGUCGGCCUGCGCGGAAGAUGUAACGGGGCUAAACCAUGCACCGAAGCUGCGGCAGCGACACUAUGUGUUGUUGGGUAGGGGAGCGUUCUGUAAGCCUGUGAAGGUGUGCUGUGAGGCAUGCUGGAGGUAUCAGAAGUGCGAAUGCUGACAUAAGUAACGAUAAAGCGGGUGAAAAGCCCGCUCGCCGGAAGACCAAGGGUUCCUGUCCAACGUUAAUCGGGGCAGGGUGAGUCGACCCCUAAGGCGAGGCCGAAAGGCGUAGUCGAUGGGAAACAGGUUAAUAUUCCUGUACUUGGUGUUACUGCGAAGGGGGGACGGAGAAGGCUAUGUUGGCCGGGCGACGGUUGUCCCGGUUUAAGCGUGUAGGCUGGUUUUCCAGGCAAAUCCGGAAAAUCAAGGCUGAGGCGUGAUGACGAAGCACUACGGUGCUGAAGCAACAAAUGCCCUGCUUCCAGGAAAAGCCUCUAAGCAUCAGGUAACAUCAAAUCGUACCCCAAACCGACACAGGUGGUCAGGUAGAGAAUACCAAGGCGCUUGAGAGAACUCGGGUGAAGGAACUAGGCAAAAUGGUGCCGUAACUUCGGGAGAAGGCACGCUGAUAUGUAGGUGAAGUCCCUUGCGGAUGGAGCUGAAAUCAGUCGAAGAUACCAGCUGGCUGCAACUGUUUAUUAAAAACACAGCACUGUGCAAACACGAAAGUGGACGUAUACGGUGUGACGCCUGCCCGGUGCCGGAAGGUUAAUUGAUGGGGUCAGCGCAAGCGAAGCUCUUGAUCGAAGCCCCGGUAAACGGCGGCCGUAACUAUAACGGUCCUAAGGUAGCGAAAUUCCUUGUCGGGUAAGUUCCGACCUGCACGAAUGGCGUAAUGAUGGCCAGGCUGUCUCCACCCGAGACUCAGUGAAAUUGAACUCGCUGUGAAGAUGCAGUGUACCCGCGGCAAGACGGAAAGACCCCGUGAACCUUUACUAUAGCUUGACACUGAACAUUGAGCCUUGAUGUGUAGGAUAGGUGGGAGGCUUAGAAGUGUGGACGCCAGUCUGCAUGGAGCCGACCUUGAAAUACCACCCUUUAAUGUUUGAUGUUCUAACGUUGACCCGUAAUCCGGGUUGCGGACAGUGUCUGGUGGGUAGUUUGACUGGGGCGGUCUCCUCCUAAAGAGUAACGGAGGAGCACGAAGGUUGGCUAAUCCUGGUCGGACAUCAGGAGGUUAGUGCAAUGGCAUAAGCCAGCUUGACUGCGAGCGUGACGGCGCGAGCAGGUGCGAAAGCAGGUCAUAGUGAUCCGGUGGUUCUGAAUGGAAGGGCCAUCGCUCAACGGAUAAAAGGUACUCCGGGGAUAACAGGCUGAUACCGCCCAAGAGUUCAUAUCGACGGCGGUGUUUGGCACCUCGAUGUCGGCUCAUCACAUCCUGGGGCUGAAGUAGGUCCCAAGGGUAUGGCUGUUCGCCAUUUAAAGUGGUACGCGAGCUGGGUUUAGAACGUCGUGAGACAGUUCGGUCCCUAUCUGCCGUGGGCGCUGGAGAACUGAGGGGGGCUGCUCCUAGUACGAGAGGACCGGAGUGGACGCAUCACUGGUGUUCGGGUUGUCAUGCCAAUGGCACUGCCCGGUAGCUAAAUGCGGAAGAGAUAAGUGCUGAAAGCAUCUAAGCACGAAACUUGCCCCGAGAUGAGUUCUCCCUGACUCCUUGAGAGUCCUGAAGGAACGUUGAAGACGACGACGUUGAUAGGCCGGGUGUGUAAGCGCAGCGAUGCGUUGAGCUAACCGGUACUAAUGAACCGUGAGGCUUAACCUU